CUCAUUUGUUUCAACGGAGUAAUGUGAGCUGGCGUGUAAACUGGGGUAAGACAACGGUUUGUGCUAACCUAUUAAUAUAAGAAAUUACACAUAUAUUCUCCUAAAGAAAAUUGACCACGGUUUUAUUACAGUAAAAGUGUAGUUAUCACUUUUUGGGCGUAUUGUGCACCAUUUGUACUACCAUACUUGUACUUCAAACACCGUGGUUAAACAGUGUAGGGGCUGUAAGGGUUGCCAUGACACUAUUUAGAAGUUUUUUGAAAAGUCACAUGUCCACAGCUGCGUGCUUUACAAACAACGCAGCGCUUAGGUUCAUUCCCGCUUCCGUUUUCCUUGCCUAGGAAAGGACAACUGCCUUCAGAGGUGGCGACAUCUACAUCUACCCCACCGCCUUAUUUCAAGUUUCCUUUGUUGCGAGAACAGCCAAACUCGGAAUAAGCAAGUGUGUGGGAGCGAUGUCAGAAGCGGGGCCCAGCUGGUGUCAUAUCCUUCAUGAACUAUAAAAGCCUUCAACAUCCACCCUGCUGCGUAACUUCACCACAGUGCCUGUGUCCCAAAAUCACCUCUGAAUGCUUCUCCUCCAUUUAUCUCCUUCAUUAAUCAUUCCUCUUUAUUGGAUUUUCUCUCAUCCUCUCUCUUUUUAAACUAAAUAAUCCCAACCACUUCACACACGGUACUCAUGGCUGGGUGAAAACCGUGUCUGGCAGCCCAAGGAUACAGUCAUAGAUUUUCUGGGUGUAGUGUUUACUGUUAAUGUUCUUAUAGUGCAGCAAAUAUGUGUGUGUUGAACCCUAAUUAUGUAUAUAAAACCUUCCUUUGAAUGUGUGAGCAUAAAGUUGUACAC